UGAGACAUGUUGUGAUUUGAACUUUGGCCAUGCCAAACUGUCAACUCGUCUGGACCCAAUCUGCUUUGGGUCUAUUCCCGACACCAUCUUAAGAGCUCAUUAACGCCAGGUUUGAACAUUAUCAUAAAAUGAGCCAGGAAACUCGGAUCGGAGUCGCGUUUCGGUGUCUGAGUUCCUGCCAAAGUUGUUUCUGUGCCCUCAACAAGCUGUGCCGGCUAAUACCUGCACACAAGCAACCGCACAAUCACAUGCACUGAGAAAAAUAAAUAGGUCUAAAAGUUGUAGUAAUCAAAAAUGAAAGGAAUUCAUGUGAAUUUCAAUAGCACUUCUACUCUAUGCUUUGCAAACGUAUUUAAUAAAUGCUUUUGCACACACACAUGCAGCCGUCAUCAAUCGCCAUUGAAAUUCAAUCCGCAAAUUCUAACGAGCGACGACGACGGAGACGACACUCACACUCACACACCCACAGUUUGAUGGGCACCGGCA
rnacentral:sRNA from 1 species